CCAAAACACAAUUAUUGGACGCAGCGACCACUUUUUUGCGUCACGAUAAAUCUCUAUUCAUUUCACAUGCCAAAAGGCGGUCGACUGUAGGCAAAAUCACCCCCAAUAAGUAAGGACUUUAGAUGAGAUAAAUACCUUUACCACGCCAUCCGAGAAAGCAAAUGUAAGAUAAGAUUCUACGCAGCACGUUUAACCUUACAACAUCUUAAGCUUAAUGCGACUUAGAAACAGCUGAUGUUAGUAACAACAUGAACCGGUCGCUGGUUCUUUUUGCCUUUCUGAGCUCUUUUGUUUUGGUAGUUCAUAUGCAGAAUGCAGAAAAAGCAUUGCGCGCAAGGGGAGAGGCAAUUUCUGAAGAAGAGAGCCGUUCUGUGUUUGCCAGGAACUACUGCAUGAUUUGGGCCCGACACAAGCGCUGCUUUAAACCCAGAUCGAGACAGAAACAAAGCGUUCGAGACUUUGACAAAAAGAAAGAAGAUAAGAUUCGCCAAGAACAGGAAGUAUUGACUGACGAAAACGCUGUGAUCGAUGGCUUUCCCAAAUAUAGAAGAAAACGAUCAUAGUGACGAAUGCUAGCAUAAUAGAAAAAUUAGCAAACAAAGAUAUCCACAUUAGCCUAUAAAUGGCAGGUGUUUUAUGACGAUAGAGAUUGUGAGGGUUUAGUAAACUCCACCUGGUUGAGUAAAGUAAAAUGAGCAAAGAACAUGGCAGACUUUUUUGGGAAGUGGAGCAUUUUAUGAUUUGCUAUAAAAAACAGCGGCUUCUAAUGGCGGCCUUCUUGGAGGACUCAGCGAAAAGCGAAACGCACCCAUAUCCAAACAAAACAUCUCAUUAGUGCUAGAAAUAAAAAAAAAGAUUAAAUCCA